UUCGCGGUGAGCUGAGGUCACAGAGGAGCUGGACACUGGGGGGGCACAAUUAUUGAUUGUAAACUGUUUAUAAAGAUUUGGAACCAAAAGAAUAUAACCAGAAAUUCAGUAUGUUAGCGAGAAUACCGUCUCCCUUCUGCCUUUCGAAACAAGCGACCUAAUUUGUUAAUCCCGACCACAGGGAUUGAUUGAACUGAUUACGUUAUAAAGACUGCCGGCGCCGAACCGGCUUCUAGCGAAAAUUUUAACACGUAGUUUUAGCAAAGAGUCGAAACCUCGCUCAAGACCCACCAGCUGCUCAGGAAAAAGCAAGGUCGGCCAAAGUUUUCCGUCUCAGUGCUCCACAUCGGAGGCUCAACGGUCCCAUUCCUCACGAAGCCGCCGCACUGCGCGUGCGCAAACUACUGUCGCUCGGGAAACCAGCCUUGAAGAAAAAAAGGCGGGAGCAACCAAUCCCUGGUGACGCAAAAUGGCGCCGGGAGAUGAGAUGCGAAAAUUCACUCGCAGCUUCUUUCGAGCUUGCCCGGACCUCAGCUCGGUUACGCACGCCAUCGUGCGACAGAAAUUUUUGAUUCACGUGGGUCGGGAUCAUCUUGAACCUGAAGAGAAGCAGGCGUUGAAGCGGCUGGUGGAGGAGGAGCUGCCGAAAAUGCAGGCGGAUGCUGGUACCAGGGAAGGAAAGCCAGACUUUAUCAAAGUGAAGAGGUCUCCUGCUCCCUGCAGUGACCCAAAGAAGAAAAGGUUCCGCUUUAAUUCAGAGUCAGAAUCCAGCUCUUCACCAUCCAGUCCAGAUGGCUCAGGACCCUCAACAAAGAACAGGACAACCAAGAAGACAUGUCUAAGAAGAGCCUUAAAGAAAGCAGUUGAGAGCACAGAUGAAGACCACCAAACAGACCUGGAUGCAAAGAUGGGAUUGGAGGAGAGCAGUGAGGGGGAAGCAGAGGGCUCUGUUAGAUCAGGUAAGGUCACCGAGGAAGAGGAGGACAUGAAACAAGAACAGAAGGGCCAGGUUAGAAAGCAAGCUGGGGCCAAAGACAAGCAAGUACCACUCAAGGCAGACAGGAAGCAGGUUAGGGAAGAGAGUGGGAGCAGUGAGGAGGAGGCUGUGCUGCAGAGAGCAAAGGUGGAGGGAAGCACAGGUGCUAACUGCCAGGAGGAGAGUGAAGAGAGCGGAGAGGAGAGCCCAGCUAAGAAGAAAGAGCUUAGUGAGCCCAGAUCCAGAAGUAACAGAGCAGAGAGAACAGCCAGGGAGAGAAAGAGCUAUAAGCAGAAAAGCAGGCCUGGGAGGCCAACUGGAGGCUUGCGAGACAGCGAGGCAGAGAAGGAAGGGGGCACAGUGGGCAGUGGGGACAGCAGUGAGGAGGGGGAGGCAGAGAAGGAAGGAGGCACAGUGGGCAGUGGGGACAGCAGUGAGAAGGGGGAGGCAGAGAAGGAAGAGGGCACAGUGGGUAGUGGGGACAGCAGUGAGGAGGGAGAAGAGCACUCGGUGAAGAGAAAGAGCAAGGUCAGGACCCAGACCGAGAGUGGGAGGAGGCAGAACACAAGCAGCAGGGAUGACAGUAACAGCACACAGGAGCAAGCAGCUGCUCAAGGCACUACAAAGUCAGGCAGCCUAGGCAGCAGUAAUGGUGACAGUGACACAGAGAGGGAAGUGAGUGACUCCCAGGCAGGACAAAACACCAAAGAGGAGAGGAAGAGCCGCUCUUCCAACAAGAGCUCCAAGAACGGCCAGGCCCGAAGUUGUUCAUCUUCAUCAGAUUCGAGUCCAGAACCCACAGGUCAGAAGGGCAAGGCCCGAAGUUCCUCAUCUUCAUCAGAUUCAGGUCCAGAACCCACAGGUCGGAAGGGAACCCUUCCUUGGAGAAGUGUCGCGCUCUGAAGCUGCAGCGGGAAGAGGCAGCUGAAGUGGCUGCCCUGGAUGUUGCCAACAUCAUCAGCAGUACAGGCCGGCCACGAAGACGAAAUGCCUGGAACCCUUCAGGGGAAGGGACCUCCCCAGGAGAGACUUAUCGCCGAACCCUGGACUCAGAAGAGGAGCAGCCGCGCCAAGCACCUCCAGACUGGUCCCAUAUGCGUGAUAUCAUCAGCAGUGACGGUGACAGCAGCUGAACUCCCGUGUCCAUGGUGGACCUUACCCUGUUAUACAAGAGCCUGGUCAGUGGAAGCAACUUCCAAAGACAGACUACAGUGGCAGGAUCCAAGUUAUUGGCACACUACUCAAUUUCAUGUUCUCUAAGAUGGCCUUGGGGUUCAUGUGCAAGCAUCCUCUCCAGGCAUUUGAGUGGACUGUUGUUUGUUUUUAAAGACUCAAUAAAAAAUGUUUGUAAUUACUUCAUCCAAA